rnacentral:rRNA from 1 species
CGAAGUUAGGUACGUAAUAACCUUACUUGUAUUCGUUUGUACUCAUGAGAUUACGAAUAAAGAUUUAUCGGUUAUGGAUGGGGAUGCGUCUGAUUAGCUUGUUGGCGGGGUAACGGCCCACCAAGGCAACGAUCAGUAGGGGUUCUGAGAGGAAGGUCCCCCACAUUGGAACUGAGACACGGUCCAAACUCCUACGGGAGGCAGCAGCG